rnacentral:tRNA from 1 species
GGGGGAGUAGCUCAAUUGGUAGAGCAACGGCCUUUUAAGCCGUAGGUUGAGGGUUCGAGUCCCUCCUCCCUCA